rnacentral:misc_RNA from 1 species
UUGACUGGCUCCCAUAGGAAACAUAUUGGGAAAUAUUCCAGGAAUGGCAGGAUGUGUCCCAGGAUUCUGACCUGCAGUAGCAGCAGCAGCAGCAGCUGGGCUGAUCAACAUUGCAGAUGGGGAAGGAGCCAUAUCAAAGCCACUAACCCUUUUACUCCUAGAACGUGAGCGGGAGUGUGAUUUUGAUCUGUUCUCAGAUCUACCCCUUGAAGGAGAUUGUGAUCGAUUCCUGUGUCUGUCUUCCCUGUCUCUAUCAUAAUCUAUAUGUCUGUCACUGACAUAGUUUCGGCUUCGAUAACGAUUAUUGUUAACCCUAUCUCUGCCCUGUUCCCUCUUCUCACCACGAUCUCUGUGGCGAUCACGACGCCCAUAGUGACUUUCACUAUCCUUGUUUCUUUCUCU